CAACAUUACGGAGGAAAGUUAAAGUUUAUGCAGAGCAGCCACAUUAAUGAAUUAUUCCCCAAAGAACUUUUGGGACGCAAAAUUAUUUUUGAACAGAGAUUGAAGGAGUGGCAAAUAGAACAAGCGCGUUGAAAUUUUAUCUUUUUCAUCAGAAAGCACAACGCCCGCAACAGAAUCCAUUUCUUCUAGUUUUCUUGGUGCGGUUAAUGAUUUAAAUGAUGAAUUUUAAAAUCUAACGUGAAUGGCAAUGCUGUUUUAAAUUACUUUGAAAAUAAUCAAAGUUUAUCAACCAAGACUCGGAAACUUUUAUAUUCCUCGAUCACGGAAUACUUAAUUUAUAACAAAAUUAAGCCAACAAAAUUUUAAUAAAUUUUAGAGCCAUUUUCAGUAGU